rnacentral:lncRNA from 1 species
GUUUACAUGACAACCCAUCUGUGAACCCUGGGCUUUACUUUUCUUUGGAAAUGACUGAUUUCAGAGUUGGUAAGUGGACCAUAGGCCAUGCGAGCUGAUGAGUGUCCGUUCGUCGCCAGGCUCCUGUGGCCGCAACAAUCGUUCUCUGAAUGUUUCUCGCAGAAGGGCCUGUGGGAUCGCCGGCGACAGCUGAGAUAAAGGAGGCUUUCUCAUGCCGUGUCCAUCUGCUUCGUGACCUCCCGCAGACCACAGAGGGUCUCAACCCCUUCAGUGUUUCAAAUCGCCGUCGACAGACCAAAGGCUCCCAGAUGGUCCCAGCCCGGCGCUCCGUUCAGACCCUCCGUGACCCGGGCUGAGCCCCGGUCUGCGCCACCAGACCUCCGUCCGAGGUCCCGUCUGCCCAGCGCCGUGUCCACCCCGACGGCCGACGCGAGCCCUCGCUGCUGUCCGUGGCCCGCCUCGUUCUUCAGCCGCCUUACCCCGUGGCUCCCACAUCUUCAAGUCUUACCUCCACGAGGUUCCCGAAUCUCCUGGUCCCGUCCCGGUCCCGUGUGAUCUCCGCAACACCCC